rnacentral:rRNA from 1 species
UACGUAGGGGGCAAGCGUUGUCCGGAUUCAUUGGGCGUAAAGAGCGUGUAGGCGGCCAGGUAGGUCGGUUGUGAAAACUGGAGGCUCAACCUUCAGAGGUCGACCGAAACCAUCUGGCUAGAGUCCGGGAGAGGAGAGUGGAAUUCCUGGUGUAGCGGUGAAAUUCGUAGAUAUCAAGCGGAACACCGGUGGCGAAGGCAGGUCUCUGGGCAUUAACUGACGCUGAGGAGCGAAAGCAUGGGGAGCGAACAGG